UCCCCCCCUCCGUCUUCCUUCUUCUUUCCCUCUCUUCCUUCUCUUCUUAUAAGUCUUGCUCAGUUGAAGAAUGAAGUAUCCAACCGAUCUGCAGGAUCCCAACGCAUCAAUCUGCAAGAUCCCAACACAUCAAUCCUCCUUUCCAAUGCCUGCAUCCUCCCUACGCCGUCAUCUAUCAUUCAUGGAUUCAUUUUUUGCAACUAUAUUCCCAUCAUCCUUUGAUAAGAUAUACUCCUUUCAG
rnacentral:lncRNA from 1 species